rnacentral:rRNA from 1 species
ACUAUUCGCCAGAGAACUACAAGCGAAAAACUUUAAACUCCAAGGACUUGGCGGUGCUCCACACCAGCCUAGAGGAGCCUGUCCUAUAAUCGAUAUUCCACGCUCAACCUUACCCCCCCUUGAAACUCAGCCUAUAUACCGCCGUCGCCAGCCUACCUUAUGAAAGGAUAAAGUGAGCACAAUAGUUAACAACUAAUACGUCAGGUCAAGGUGUAGCACACGGGGGGAGAGAUGGGCUACAUUCCCUCCCACAGGGAAACGAACAGUGUAUUGAAAUACACACUCAAAGGUGGAUUUAGCAGUAAAACAAAUUAUACCCCUUUAUUUCAAUAUGCUCUGGAGCGCGCACACACCGCCCGU